rnacentral:rRNA from 1 species
AGAGUUGUAUCCUGGCUCAGAUUGAACGCUGGCGGCAUGCUUUACACAUGCAAGUCGAACGGCAGCACGGAGCUUGCUCUGGUGGCGAGUGGCGAACGGGUGAGUAAUAUAUCGGAACGUACCCAAGAGUGGGGGAUAACGUAGCGAAAGUUACGCUAAUACCGCAUACGAUCUAAGGAUGAAAGCAGGGGAUCGCAAGACCUUGUGCUCCUGGAGCGGCCGAUAUCUGAUUAGCUAGUUGGUAGGGUAAAAGCCUACCAAGGCAUCGAUCAGUAGCUGGUCUGAGAGGACGACCAGCCACACUGGAACUGAGACACGGUCCAGACUCCUACGGGAGGCAGCAGUGGGGAAUUUUGGACAAUGGGCGCAAGCCUGAUCCAGCAAUGCCGCGUGAGUGAAGAAGGCCUUCGGGUUGUAAAGCUCUUUUGUCAGGGAAGAAAAGGGAUUGGCUAAUAUCUGAUCCUCAUGACGGUACCUGAAGAAUAAGCACCGGCUAACUACGUGCCAGCAGCCGCGGUAACACGUAGGGUGCAAGCGUUAAUCGGAAUUACUGGGCGUAAAGCGUGCGCAGGCGGUUUUGUAAGACUGUCGUGAAAUCCCCGGGCUCAACCUGGGAAUGGCGAUGGUGACUGCAAGGCUAGAGUUUGGCAGAGGGGGGUAGAAUUCCACGUGUAGCAGUGAAAUGCGUAGAUAUGUGGAGGAACACCGAUGGCGAA